CACGUAGGGUGCAAGCGUUACUCGGAAUUACUGGGCGUAAAGCGUGCGUAGGUGGUUUGUUAAGUCUGUUGUGAAAGCCCCGGGCUCAACCUGGGAAUGGCAAUGGAUACUGGCAAGCUAGAGUGCGGUAGAGGGUAGUGGAAUUCCCGGUGUAGCGGUGAAAUGCGUAGAGAUCGGGAGGAACACCAGUGGCGAAGGCGGCUACCUGGACCAGCACUGACACUGAGGCACAAAAGCGUGGGGAGCAAACAGG
rnacentral:rRNA from 1 species